rnacentral:misc_RNA from 1 species
CUGCCCUCAAGCACGGCUUGUGUGUUGGGCCCCCGUCCCCCCUCCCGGGGGGCGGGCCCGAAAGGCAGCGGCGGCACCGCGUCCGGUCCUCGAGCGUAUGGGGCUUUGUCACCCGCUCUGUAGGCCCGGCCGGCGCCUGCCGACCACCAUCAAUCUUUUUUCA